ACACAGGGACAGGGUUACAGGUCACACAUCUCCCUCACACCCAAAAUAUCUGCUUCACUUUGGUGUGGCCAGGCCACCACCUGCACCUGCAAUUUGGGGACAUUUACAGCUGCCCACGAUGGAGCUUCAUGCACUCAGUGGCAGAGGAACGAGCUGUUAAUUAACCCCAGCCUCUAAUGACUUCCUAGCACUGGUUAAUGGUUUUCUCCUCCCCAUUUUGUCACUGCACAAUGUGAGGGAUGAGCCAGGGGAGAAAGAGGGACUGGGGAGGAACACAGGGGGCAGGACCCAAAGAGAGAAAUGGGAGAAGGGAACCAGGGAACAGGGCAGGGUCUCCAAAGGGAGAGGAGGGGAGGGGUUGGUGCUUCCUGCACGGUGUGGGGUCAGAGGAUGCAGUGUCAGCCUGGCAGGGAUGAGCAAUCCCAGAUCCAGCCCAUUCCCUGCAGCACAUGCCUCUCUGGAGGGGGAAUAUGGAUCAUUUCUCAUCAGUCCUGGGGAGCUGGGGAGGUCCUGUCUCCCUGCAGGCUGGCCAGUGUGACACCAGGCUCCAGGAAGUACUGAAGGAGGAUCCAGGAACUCCAGGAGCUGGGGAAGGUCCUGGAGCAGAUCACCUGGGCUGUGAUCACACAGCACGUGCAGGACAAGCAGGAGAUCAGGCCCAGCCAGUCUGGCUUUGACAGGUCCUGCCUGACCACCCUGAUCUCCUUCUGUGACAGUGAGACCUUAAUGGAGGAGGGAAAGGCUGUGCAUGCAUCUGCCUGGGCUCUGCUGAAGCCUUUGGCACCUUUUCCCAUGGCAUUCUCCUGGAGAAACUGCCUGGUCCUGCCUUGGAGAGGUGCACCCUGCUGGGAUAAACCUGGGCAUGGAGGCCCAUCCAGCUGGGCACGGGCACCAGGGGGCUCAGGGCUGGGUCAGUCCUGCCCAACACCUCCAGGGCAUGGAGGGCACCAGCCUGGCUCAGCUCAGGGACAGCCCCAGGGGGUGGGAUGUGCAUCUGCUGGGGGCUCUGCAGAGGGACCAGGACAGCCUGGAUCCAUGGCCUGGGGCCACUGGGGUGAGGGACAACAAGGCCAAGAGCUGGGUCCUGCCCUGGGGUCACACCAACCCCAGGGAACCCUCCAGAGGGGUUGGAAAGCUGCUGGGCAGGAAAGGACCUGGGAAAAAUUCAUUCCCCACAGCUGCCCAGGCAGGGCUGGAGCCCCAUCCCUGCAGGGAUUUAAAAGCUGUGAGGAUGUGGCACUUGGGGACAUGGGGCAGUGGUGGCCUUGGCAGUGCAGGGGAUGAGCUCCAAAGGAUUUUUCCAAGCUCAGUGCCUCUGUGAUUUCUGCAGACACUCCACUCCUGAGCUUCUCCCAUAACAAAAGGAGCUCCCUAAGGUGUCAAUGUCCCUCUGACAGCCACAGCCCCCGAGCAGCCUCCUCAAAGCACCUGAAAACUCCUGAAAACACCUGAAACCACCUGCCCACAUUGGAAACACGAGGGACCAAAAGCCCUGGAGGACAUCCAUCACUCACCUGGGACACCCCUGAGUUUUUAACAAAGCAACUGCAGAGUCCAAAGGCCUCAGUUUCAGGUUUAUUCCAACCCAGUGCUGAGUCUCCUCCUGUGCUGCCUUAUCCCCUCUCCUGUCCCCACCACACAGGGCACUUCUCCAGAAACACCAUCGUGUCCCACUUCCCACACUGGGAAAUUCAAACCCCAACCUCUCAUUUUUGCUGGGCUGCUUUCUCCAGCCUCAGGGCUCCACUGAGCAGUGCCUGACAGCCCUCACCUGUGCUCAGCUCUCCAGGGCCACCUCUGUGCUUUCUGGGAAAAUCCAAACAUUUAUUCCACUUGGGAGCAGCAUAACAAAACCAAGAACUACCAGCUGUGCUGCUCUCUUGCCAUCUCAGAAUUCAUGGAGGAUGAACUCGUGGGGAUCCAAGCACUCAAUGCUUCCACAUCACUUUUCUUCUGCUUCACUUGACCUUGCCUGAAAUUUUCCAGCCUCCCUGUCCUGGUUCUCCUCUGCCCAGGGCAAUGAGCUACCAGGAGCCAGGCUACCUGCACCAGCCAUGAAAAACCUCCAAAUAUUCCAGGACAUGAUUAAGAGAGAGGGGAGAUGUUGAUGUUGAAUUACCCUGGAGGAUUUCCACACACACUCAGUGACUGAGGUUGGAAAUGGGGGUGUGUAUUUGCCAUCUGUCAGAGGUGGGGCUGUUAUCCUCUGUUCUUUGGGCAGUUUUCUUUAUCUUUCCCACAACCAAUCCUACCUCCAGGAGAUCUCUGCUGUUAAUGGGCCAUUGAUUAUUAAUUAUGUCCUGUCCCUGGCCAGUGAGUGUCCCUGCAUGGCUGAUCAAAUUCCAUCGUCCCAUGGGGAGCCAAGCAUUCCUACCUGGAUACAAUCUGAGAUUUUGGGAUACCACAGCAGCCUCUGCCCCCUGCAUUCCCAGAGGAGCAGCUUUCUGCUGCCCUGCAUUCCCAAGGGAGAGCAGGCCCAUCUCCAGCAGCCCUGGAGCUGCAGAGGAAAACUCCCCCCUUGUGCAGGAUCCCUGCUCCAGCAGAACCACAGCUGGCACUGCAGGAGGGCUGAGCCCCCCUGGGAUGGGACUGUGUCACCACCCUGAGCCCCCCUGGGAUGGGACUGUGCCACCACCCCGAGCCCCUCUGGGAUGGGACUGUGCCACCACCCUGAGCCCCUCUGGGAUGGGACUGUGUCACCACCCUGAGCCACCCUGGGAUGGGACUGUGCCACCACCCUGACACACAGGGGACAGGGCCUGCUCUGACUCUGGCAGUGUUGUUUUGGUUUGUUUGUACUACUGCAUUUGUAUUUUUAAUUUUCCUAGUAAAGAACUGUCAUUUCUCUUUCCAUAUCUUUCCCUGAGAGCCUCCUAACUUCAAAAUUAUAACUCAGAGGGAGUGUGUUUAUAUUUUCCAUUUCAAGGAAGGCUCCUGCCCUCCUUAGCACACACCUGUUCAAACCAAGACACUCAGGAGCAGCUACUGAGAGUAGUAACACACAGUGUAGCUACUCUGCAGCUCCUCCUGGCUUGGCUGCCCCUCUGCCCUCACUGUGUGGUGUGAGCUGCUCCCAAACCUGAUUUCUCAGCCCCCAGUGUGUUCCUCACUGCCCACCCUGCUCCAGCACAGGUACACACUUUGCUCAUGCUCACAGUGGAUAUUCCAGGACACCACAGGCUCUUCUUUAGUGUCCAGCCCCCCUUGUUGGAGUUGUGGGUGCUGAGAAUUUCAGGCUUUCAGUGCUGACAGACUCUGGCCCCCAGGAGAGCACUGCAUCUGACCUGAGGCCGUGGAGAAGCUUCCAGAAUUGAUUGAGAGCACUGGGAUUGUGGGUAUGGAGUUGUGUGUGAUGUCACAGGGUGGAAAACUCAGAGUUUGGCGUUUUAGAAUAUGGUAAUAAAUAUUGGGCAAGAUGGAGGUUUUGGGGCAGUGGCAGUAAAUUGCUCUAAUUUACCUUCUUCUUCAUGGGUUUGGGUGGGAUUUUGUAAUUGGACAGAAAAGCCCAACCUGCAGAGUUUGAAGGAUUAGUUACUGGGUUAAAAGUGAAAAUAAUUUAGGUGUAGUUUCUGAAUUGGAUAAUUUAGCCUUAAAAAACCUUGUACCAAGAGACACUUGGCCAUUUUGUGCUUUGUUAGUGAAGAACUGCAGAACUCACUGCCGUGAGACUGUGACAUAGGUAAGAAAUAAUAGACACCUGAGUCUGAACCAUCCUCUUGAGGGCCUUCAAACCUUGACAGAGGCAGGAAAAGAGAGCCAAAAACCAGCACCUCUUGGCAGAGCUGAGCUCUGGGAACCCUCUGGGUGAGCACAGGAGUGUGCAAACCCAGGGCACCACAGGGAAUAUUUCUCUGCCUGCUCUGGGGUGCUCUGACCCCCAGGGCAGCACUGACCCUGACCCUCAUUCCUGGAGAAAGUUUCCCAGAGCUCAAGAUAGACUGGAACCCACAAAAGUGUGCAAUAGAUUACAGAGAGCAGUGUGGGUGUGUCACUGGGUGAGAAAUUGAGGUUCUGGGAUUUUUAGUGUGUUGUGGGUGGAAGCAAGAUGGAGGGCACAGGAGGUCAUCCUGGGCUUCUUCUUCCUUCUUCUUCAUGGGUUUGGGUGGCAUUUUGUAAUUGGGUAGAAGAGUCCACAUUGCUUUUUAAAAAUCAGUUAUUGGGCUAAAAGUGAAAAUAAUUUAGGUGCCUGUUUUUAAUUGGAUAGUUUAGUUUUAAAAAACCUUUUAACAAGAGAUAGUUGGUCAUUUUGUGCCUUGUUAGUGAAGAACUGCAGAACUCACUGCUGUGAGACUGUGACAUUGAUAAGAAAUAAUAAACACCUGAGUCUGAACCAUCCUCUUGAGGGCCUUCAAACCUUGACAGAGGCAGGAGAAAGAAGCCAAAAACCAGCACCUCUUGGCAAAGCUGAGCUCUGGGGACCCUGGGCUUCUUCUUCAUGCUUCUCCAUGGGUUUGGGUGGCAUUUUGUAAUUGGGUAGAAGAGUCCACAUUGAGAGCUUUUAGAAAUCAGUUAUUGGGUUAAAAGUGAAAAUAAUUUAGGUGUCUGUUUUUAAUUGGAUAGUUUAGCCUUAAAAAACCUUGUACCAAGAGAAUGUUAGCCAUUUUGUGCCUUGUUGAACUGCAGAACUCACUGCUAGGAGGCUGUAACAUUGAUAAGAAAUAAUAAACACCUGAGUCUGAACCAUCCUCUCGAGGGCCUUCAAACCUUGACAGAGGCAGGAGAAAGAAGCCAAAAAAAAGCAACUCUGGCAGAGCUGAGCUCUGGGGAGCCUCUGGGUGAGCACAGGUGUCACAGUCAUAUUUUCUGGAAAAACCCCUUGCCCAGGAUUUCUCUCCUGGGAAGCUGAGAAGCCUCAGAGAAAAAUGAAAACAACAAUGAUCUGAUUUGCUUCACCUGUGUUCUGCUGCUCUGAAAUGGGGUUUGGAGAUUGUUUACCAAUAUUGUUUGUUUGAUUGGUUUCAUGUGAAUUGUUUUGACUUAAUGACCAAUCACCAUCAGCUGGGUUGGGACUCUGGAGAGAGUCAGAGUUUUUCAUUAGUAUCUUGUUAAGCCUUCUGUAUGAAUAGAAUAGAAUAAUAAAUAAUAAAUAAGAAAUCAUAAAUUAGCCUUCUAAGACCAUGGAGUUGGAUUCAUCAUUCCUUCUUCCUCCGAUGGGGGACCCUGAAAAUACCACACACAGGAGCUCAGGUUUGGGGUGUCUGGCUAAGGUGUGGGUGUUUGGCUCAGGUUUGGGAUAUCUGGCUCAAGUGUGGGUGUUUGGCUAGGUUUGGUUCACGUUUGGCUCAGGUGUGGGAUGCCUGGCUCAGGUUUGGGGUGUUUGGCUCAGGUUUGGCUCAUGUUUGGGUGUCUGGCUCAGGUGUGGGUGUCUGGCUCAGGUUUGGCUCAUGUCUGGCUGAGGUUUGGGGUGUUUGGCUCAUGUUUGGCUGAGACGUGGGAUGUCUGGCUCAGGUUGGGGGUGUCUGGCUCAGGUUUGGGAUGUCUGGCCCAGGUUUGACUCAGGUUUGGGAUCUCUGGCCCAGGUUUGGCUCAGGUGUGGGGUGUCUGGCCCAGGUGUGGGGUGUCUGGCCCAGGUUGGGGUGUCUGUCCCAUGUGUGGCUCAUGUCUGGCCCAGGUUUGGCUCAGGUGUGGGAUGUCUGGCCCAGGUUUGGCUCAUGUCUGGCUCAGGUUUGGGAUGUCUGGCUCAGGUCUGGCCCAGGUGUGGGGUGUCUGGCCCAGGUUCAGGUGUCUGGCCCAGGUUCAGGUGUCUGGCCCAGGUGUGGCUGAUGUCUGGCCCAGGUCUGUCCCACGUUCAGGGCCCUGGCCCAGGUGUGGCACGGAUGUC